UUGAAAUGCUCUCGAAGCAUCCGCUUCAAAUUAAGAAAUUUUUUGUCAAUAUCAAGCUCACACGACUGUUUAACCGGCAAUAUGUACAAUUUUGUAAAAUAUGUACGAGUUAAAAUUUAUCUUUGAAGUUUGAAAAACACAAAAAUACCUCAUUGUUAAGAGGUCUUAUAUUCCUGUCUCAAUUGGCUUCUUCAUGGUUAGUUCUCAGAUUUCAUGUUUAUAUGAUAUCGUGUGCCCUAUUGCCAUCAGUCCGGAACGCACGCGAUAUUUUGACAAACAGGGUUUGUUGUAAUGUCGAGCGUCGAGGUAAAAAGAAGUCGAGAGUGAAGGCGGUUUUCCUAUAGGGAGCCACGUCAGUUUGCGCGUGUCAAGAGUUGCGUCAAAACUAAAUUCUCGAAAGAUCAGAGGGAAUUAGGUACACCACAGCUAUCCACUAAAAUGCACAACAAGACUUAUCAGUUACGUUUGAUUUUGCUUAUCAGAAAAUUUGGCGACGAAGUGACUGCGACGUGAUGCAGGUCAUGUUGAUGAAGGUGCUCGUCCUCCGAAUGAGUGACGGGUAAAAAUCAUUGAGUUCUAUAAUAACUCAAUAUACUCAGUUAUUAUAGAACUCAAUGGUAAAAAUGAGAUCGGGAGAAUUUAUGAGCCCGCAAGGAGAAUGCCAGUGUGAAUUGCGAGUUUUAACACUCUUUCUUAAACCAUACUAUGAUUAAGUUUACGCCAAGUACUUUAAACGACAUGACAAGCACUUACGUUUGAAUUUGAAGGCUAGUUCUGGACACGCUCAAAAUGAAAAAAAGCAGAUGAAGAGUUAUCAUGAUACGUGCGAACAAAUAUACUCGUAGAGGAUUGGUUGAAAUGAACAAUUUAACUUUACGUUCAACUUCUGUCCUUACGCUUGACUUUUUAAUCUCCUUCUCCAUCUUUAACCCCUAUCCUCGACGUUUGCGCUCGAACCUCGAAAUUUAGCCAAAAAGGGUGCUUCCUGACAGAAGUAAAAAUAUAACCUUAUUGAGUGGGCUAACAGAACAUUAGUAAUCAGGAAACACUUCAAUUUGAUAUUUGUCUUUAGACGAGUUGUUUUUCCUAAUAAGGAGCCAAUUGCUUCUACUGAAUACCUAUUUUGGGUUGUUUGUUUUUUUCUCACACAACGAAUCGUGUCGAGGAUUCGAGGACACAGGCUUGUGAGCCAACAAUUUGCCAGGCGGGGACGUUAUAGCUAUAUUAUAUGAUUAACAGUAGCGAUCAGGCGAUGUCAGCACGAUAUUUUGGAGUGGGGACAUUCAAAUGCGCAUGUUUUGCCAUAUUUAGUUCCUUUGAAAUCAAAUGAUUUUUUUAUUGAACAUGAAUAUAUCAAUAUCCCCCGUAAUCUUCGAGCUGGCGGUGCAAGUGGAUAUUAAUCAUGCUAAUCUUCAUAAAAAGUAUCCAGACUUGUUAGUUAUUAUAAACUUCUAAAGGGAAAAUGAGCAUGAUGUAUACCAAUAAGCCAGAUAGAAACUUGAAAAUUUAAAAUAUGUCAAUGAUAAAAAAGCAAAGCUUACCACUUAAACAACAGGGGCGUGGGUGCCGGGGAUGUAAUCCAUGAUAGCGAGAAACCGUUGUGGCCCCGGGCCUUAUGGGCCCCUCACAUGAUAGUAAAAAUUAUAAAAGUUAACAAAUUAUUAAAUACACAACGGUUUAUUAAAGCUACUUUAGUACAAAA